rnacentral:lncRNA from 1 species
UUUUUUCGACCAAUUUUUUUUUUCGACUGCCUGGACCCAAAAACUGGAAACGGGUCAAAAAAAACUUUCUAUAACGGCGACUGUCUCAAUAUGCUUAGAAACACCUAAAAAUAGGAUAGCCAGAAAUUUUUUUGUCAACUGCGUUUUCCGAAAAUUUUGGGCCUAAACGGAGGGUGGUUUCCGGACUCUUUUUUUUUUUGGAAACCAACCUCUUCUACGGACGGCAAAAGAUUGCUGGAAUCCGAAACCUACUCAGACAAGGAAACACGAAUCGGAAAUUAGAUGGAUCCCGAAAACAACCCUAAUAUGCAAGGAACUCGGAUUGGUGGUGGAUAUAUGGUGGUGGUAUAUGGCAGCGGUGGUGGUAUAUGGCAGCGGUGGUGGUAUAUGGAUACGGAUUCGAAGCGGUGGCGGAUAAGCGGUGGUGGUAGAUGGCAGGGGCGAUGAUGAUGGUGCGGCGGCGGCGUGACAACUUAUGACCAGAACUCGAAACUCUAAAAGACUAGACUCUAAGACCAGCAACUAGACACGACGAUGCAACCGCAAAUUCAACAACGCAAAUACAGAAAAGAUUAUGCAAAGGCUCAGAUUGGUUCGGAUAUGAUGAACUAACCCUAAUUUUUUUGUGGCUUUUUCGUGGACUGUAGGUAUGAAUAACAGACUCGAUCUAAACUACGAAAAACUAUAAAAUCUCACCGAGCAACCUGGAAAUCUGAUACCACUUGAUAGAGGCAAAGGUGUCCCGUCUUUCGAUGAGAUGGUGGAUUUCGCUUUGGUGGAAGUCGACUUUGACGAUCCGACUACGAACUUGCGAGGACAUCGCGCCUUAGCAAUCACUAAACCAACUCCGAGAGGUUAUUGACCACGCCGGAGCACGAUCAACCUGACCACGAGGGUCUAUUUCCUAUGAGCAAACGAAGAACACGCAAGAAACUGAGAUUGCAAUCUGGAUAUUGUGAAUAUAAGAUGAAAGCUUUAUUGAUCAAGGUGGGGUUCUGUGACGCCUUUGUCUGGUCGUUGAACGCAAACGAAGUACGCGAAGUUGCAGCUAUGGCGAACUCUUAAUCUAAACAAAACCCAAAGGAAAAGCUACUAAAUGGAUCUACUUAUAUAGGAGCAAGGGGUGGCGGCCAAGGAGGUGGGAGGACGUCCCAAGGCAGCCUAAAACUAACCCUAGGUCGUACAAGGCCAAUGGGCCCAAGUGGGGGUGACGUAACACCUUUGGACUUGUAGUUUCACUCGGAUUCUGGUGCAGCAUCAGAUUGUUUCGUCCAUAACACAAAGCUCCGGACGUAUUUUAAGGUGAUUCUAAUUGUGUUGGAAAGAGCAUGAAAUCUACUUUCCAACAAAAAAAGAAUCACCCAAUUCGGAGUCCGUAUGAAAAAGUUGUUGGCGUUUUGAGUCAGGUAUGUCUACGCAGUCCGAAUCUGAAUCCAGAACGUGAGAGACUUGGACUCUAUCUUCUCUUGACCCAAAAGUGACGUGAGAGGACUUUUUGAACAGCACCUAAACUUCUCCUUUUCCCUUAUCUUCAUAUGUGGAUUGUACAAAUGUCCCAUACACCUGCAAUUAGACAAAACACAAAAGUGUGUGAAGUAUGUUUGUUCUGGAUAACAUAAAUAGAUUAUUGAAUAGUUUGCACUAGAAAUCACCUGACAAAUAUGCAUGUAUGCAAUAUUUUUGGUCAUAUCCAAGGUAGUCAUGUCCUCAUCAUCCUCCCCUUCUUGAAAAUAAAGCCGUCCACGGCAUUGCUUAAUCUGAAAUGUGGCUAACAAUAGAGACAAGGUGUACAUGUUGUAUAUGUAUAUGUCAUCCAUUUUUACUUCCCUCGAUUUUUGCAUAUAUGACACAUGAAUAGAUGAGUAACUUGCAUAGUUCAUAAAAUCUAAAGCCAAAAAAUUAGCACAAGAAGUAGAAGGCAUGAAAAUAUUGCAACUCAGUUUGCACAUAUAAGUGAAGCUCUUAUUCAUUUCAAAAGAUUAACAAUAUUCAUCAUUAAACCAUCCCAACAUUGGUGAAUAAACCUUACUUGCAUCAAAUUUACAUGCUACAAUAUGCUUAAAUAAGCAAACAUGCAAUAAGUCAUUCAACACAGAAUCAUCACCAGGAUUAGAGGUCAUAUAAAAAAACAGUUAAUUCAAUGGGUGCACUCAAAAUUGUUGGUAUUUCAGUUGUUUGAUCACAUGACGCAUUCACGACAGUAUCAAGAUUCUCUAAAAUAGGUGAUGUGCUCAAAUCACCAGGUAACUCAACACAUGAUGCAUUCAAGUUAACUAGGGAUGCAUCAUUCUCAUGUGAAGUUAUAUCAUCAAUACCUUUACUAUUACCUUGUCACAAAGGCAUAGCUGAUGUAGGUACAGACGUAGACAAUGCACCAUACUCUUGAGAUGAUGUCGCGCUCACAAUCCGAGGUGGGGCUGCUCUAGUAGGUGCAACGGUGGAGGAACCAACCGGCGGUGGUGAGCAUGAUCUGGAAUAGUAGUUGUUGUAGUCAUCCAAUGCAUCCUCCUGUAUCUGUCUCUCAAAGGUACAAGCACGAACAUACAUACCAGUAAUGCAACGAGGAAUAUACUGAAAUCUUGCCUGAAUAUCAUGGUUCAAACCACCAAAAAAUCUAUUCAUUGUAUCAUCCUUAGAUUCUUCUAUGUCACAAUGAUGCAUAUAAGAUUUGAACUCUUUGUAGUAAGCAUGAACAGUGUUGUUGCCUUGUUUAAAUUGUUCAAAUUUGCGAAGCAAUUCACGAUGAUAGUAAGGAGGGAAAAAAUGUUGUCUCAUUACAUCUUUCAAAUCUUUCCAAGUUGUGGGUUGGUUAUCAAUAUUUUUCUUACAAUGCACACUCCACCAAACUGAAGCAAAACCAGUCAAUGCUCUAGUGGCAGCUCGUACUCGCUCAAGUUCAGAAAAGUCAUGGUUACUAAAAACUUGUUCUACUUCAAACUCCCAAGCUAGAUAAAUAACAGGAUUAAAUCUACCCUCAAAUGACGGUAAAGAGAUAACCUGACCAUGUGGUUGUGUGUGUUGUCCCAACUCUCGUGAUGGUGAAGAUGUGUCCGUCGUCCAAGAACUUCUAUCUCCGGAACCUGUCAUGAUUAGUAGAAACAAGAAACAAAAUUCCAGAAUAAUGUUCCUAUGAACUACUAGGAUGUGGUUGUAAAGUGCUCACAGUAAAGCAAAUAUCAAUAUCUUACAAGUUCUUACCAUGCGGCAGGUGGUGACAGGCAACCAGCGAUGUCAAAUAACUCUGAAGAUUGUGUAAAGCGAUUGCCAGGGGAACGUACGUAUACACGGUGUAGAAAUAUGUGGAGCUGGGUUGGCUAUAUAUGGUAGCAAAAGAUUAGCAAUAAUCAAUUCAGAGAUGCAAUGUUGAAUAAACGCUCAACGACGGUACUGUGCUGGUCCUAGGCUAGACCGUGCUAGAGACGCGAGCCUAGAACACUAACAAAAUCACGGCGCUGCACAUAAACAAGGGAAAAGCACACUCUGGAAUUUUUUUUCGCUCUUUUUUUUGCGCUGCUUUUUUUUUGCGAAAAAUCACUAUAAUGCCGAGUGUCUCAAAACUCUUCCCAGGUCAAACUGACAGGAUGAGCACGAAAUUUUUUCGACCAAUUUUUUUUUCGACUGCCUGGACCCAAAAACUGGAAACGGGUCAAAAAAAACUUUCUAUAACGGCGACUAUCUCAAUACGCUUAGAAACACCUAAAAAUAGGAUAGCCAGAAAUUUUUUUGUCAACUGCGUUUUCCGAAAAUUUUGGGCCUAAACGGAGGGUGGUUUCCGGACUCUCUUUUUUUUUGGAAACCAACCUCUUCUACGGACGGCAAAAGAUUGCUGGAAUCCGAAACCUACUCAGACAAGGAAACACGAAUCGGAAAUUAGAUGGAUCCCGAAAACAACCCUAAUAUGCAAGGAACUCGGAUUGGUGGUGGAUAUAUGGUGGUGGUAUAUGGCAGCGGUGGUGGUAUAUGGAUACGGAUUCGAAGCGGUGGCGAAUAAGCGGUGGUGGUAGAUGGCAGGGGCGAUGAUGAUGGUGCGGCGGCGGCGUGACAACUUAUGACCAGAACUCGAAACUCUAAAAGACUAGACUCUAAGACCAGCAACUAGACACGACGAUGCAACCGCAAAUUCAACGACGCAAAUAUAGAAAAGAUUAUGCAAAGGCUCAGAUUGGUUCGAUAUGAUGAACUAACCCUAAUUUUUUGUGGCUUUUUCGUGGACUGUAGGUAUGAAGAACAGACUCGAUCUAAACUACGAAAAACUAUAAAAUCUCACCGAGCAACCUGGAAAUCUGAUACCACUUGAUAGAGGCAAAGGUGUCCCGUCUUUCGAUGAGAUGGUGGAUUUCGCUUUGGUGGAAGUCGACUUUGACGAUCCGACUACGAACGUGCGAGGACGUCGCGCCUUAGCAAUCACUAAACCAACUCCGAGAGGUUAUUGACCACGCCGGAGCACGAUCAACCUGACCACGAGGGUCUAUUUCCUACGAGCAAACGAAGAACAAGCAAGAAACUGAGAUUGCAAUCUGGAUAUUGCGAAUAUAAGAUGAAAGCUUUAUUGAUCAAGGUGGGGUUCUGUGACGCCUUUGUCUGGUCGUUGAACACAAACGAAGUACGCGAAGUUGCAGCUAUGGCGAACUUUUAAUCUAAACAAAACCCAAAGGAAAAGCUACUAGAUGGAUCUACUUAUAUAGGAGCAAGGGGUGGCGGCCAAGGAGGUGGGAGGACGUCCCAAGGCAGCCUAAAACUAACCCUAGGUCGUACAAGGCCAAUGGGCCCAAGUGG